rnacentral:rRNA from 1 species
CCUACGGGAGGCAGCAGUGGGGAAUAUUGCGCAAUGGGCGAAAGCCUGACGCAGCGACGCCGCGUGAGGGAUGAAGGUCUUCGGAUCGUAAACCUCUGUCAGCAGGGAAGAACGGUCACUGUGCUAAUCAGCAGUGAAUUGACGGUACCUGACAAGGAAGCACCGGCUAACUACGUGCCAGCAGCCGCGGUAAUACGGAGGGUGCGAGCGUUAAUCGGAAUUACUGGGUGUAAAGCGCACGUAGGCGGUAUGUCAAGUCAAGGGUGAAAUCCCCGCGCUCAACGGGGGAACUGCCUUUGAAACUGGCAAACUUGAGUGUGUGAGAGGAGAGUGGAAUUCCAGGUGUAGGAGUGAAAUCCGUAGAUAUCUGGAGGAACAUCAGUGGCGAAGGCGACUAUCUGGCACAUAACUGACGCUGAGGAGCGAAAGCGUGGGUAGCAAACAGGAUUAGAUACCCGAGUAGUC